AGUCGAACGGCAGCACGGACUUCGGUCUGGUGGCGAGUGGCGAACGGGUGAGUAAUGCAUCGGAACGUGCCCAAUCGUGGGGGAUAACGUAGCGAAAGUUACGCUAAUACCGCAUACGAUCUAAGGAUGAAAGCGGGGGAUCGCAAGACCUCGCGCGAAUGGAGCGGCCGAUGUUAGAUUAGGUAGUUGGUGGGGUAAAGGCUCACCAAGCCGACGAUCUAUAGCUGGUCUGAGAGGAUGAUCAGCCACACUGGGACUGAGACACGGCCCAGACUCCUACGGGAGGCAGCAGUGGGGAAUUUUGGACAAUGGGCGCAAGCCUGAUCCAGCCAUUCCGCGUGCAGGAUGAAGGCCCUCGGGUUGUAAACUGCUUUUGUACAGAACGAAAAGCUCUGGGUUAAUACCCUGGGGUCAUGACGGUACUGUAAGAAUAAGCACCGGCUAACUACGUGCCAGCAGCCGCGGUAAUACGUAGGGUGCAAGCGUUAAUCGGAAUUACUGGGCGUAAAGCGUGCGCAGGCGGUUAUGUAAGACAGAGGUGAAAUCCCCGGGCUCAACCUUGGAACUGCCUUUGUGACUGCAUAGCUAGAGUACGGCAGAGGGGGAUGGAAUUCCGCGUGUAGCAGUGAAAUGCGUAGAUAUGCGGAGGAACACCGAUGGCGAAGGCAAUCCCCUGGGCCUGUACUGACGCUCAUGCACGAAA
rnacentral:rRNA from 1 species